UUUUGGCAUUUUUGUCAUAUUUUAGUUUACCCAAAUUAUAGUCAUUUCCGCGAACGUUCAAAGCAGAACAGCUUGCAAUCUCAUUGGCUUUGCCAUCGUUUUCAUAAUCAUAAGGAGUAUGUCCAUCCCCCUUCAUCACAAUUACACGAGGGAAUAAAGUUCCCGGACGAUGGUUGUUGUACGUAUCAAUAAAAAUGCCAUAACCAUUAAACUUGUCCGUAAAUCCAAAAACCGGUCCAGGUUUGGCGCGCUCAGCAGCUAAAAAAAACGCAAGACCAUCUCCAAAAAGGGAGGUUGAUUCACUGUUAAUACGAAAUUGAAAAAGGACUUCAAAGCUGCUAGACGGUGUUGGUAAACGGGUGGAAAUCCAUCCCUGUUGGUUUUGGACGUCCUGGGUCAAGAAAAUACCGUUCUUUCUAUCAAUAACAGUGCUACCACCAUAUUCCCACCAUAAGUUUCUCAUACCAUGGUUGAUGUAAGGAGCUUCCAAAGACAGACGCUCCAAGUGACUGGUUUCUGCCAAUGCACCAAGAACAAACCCAAAGAUUCCCAAAAGGAAAACAUUCUUUACUGAGAAAAACAUAUUAAAUACCGCCUUUUUUUAAAAGAACGCAGUCCACACUUCUGCUGCGUGUCGUUUGUAGUGGUCAAGUGAGUCAGUGUGCUUCCAAUGCCAGAAUUCCCAAGUAGGUCACGUGUCACCUGAAAUAAUAAACAAUAGAGGCAGGCAGAGCUGAAAUCAAUUGUAAAAGCUGUAAAAUCACAAAGAGUAGAGAGUAAAGACCUAGAAAAUUUAGCAUUAACUUCGUUUACUUCAUUUCUAAGUCAAGUUUUGGAACAUGCUUUGUUUGAAUGAAAGACCUUUGAAACGCCCAAUGUUUAUUUGCUUUGUCGAUGAAAUAAAACAAAUGGAUUUUCAUAGGACCAGGUCAUAAAUUUAGUUUUUAUUUUCUUUUAGAUGAUAGUAUUAUACAACCCAAACUUGAAGCUUGCAAACCUUGACUUCCUUCAAUCGGUACGAUCGUGCUGAAUGGUCACAACAGGUCCUUUCAGCAGAAAUAGACAAGAUUUUUAGAGAACAAGCUUAGAUCGUGUGAUGAUUGAAAGAUAUUCUAAUUGUCCAACUGCCAAGAAAUACUUUCAAACUGAAAUUCCAAUUCAUCGAUAU